rnacentral:rRNA from 1 species
GAUGAACGCUGACAGAAUGCUUAACACAUGCAAGUCAACUGUGGCGGACGGGUGAGUAACGCGUAAAGAACUUGCCUCACAGCUAGGGAAACCAUUCGGAACCGAAUGCUAAUACCUGAUACUGUGAGAGAGAUUUGCGUCCCAUUAGCUAGUUGGAGCGGUAACGGCUCACCAAGGCGAUGAUGGGUAGCCGGCCUGAGAGGGUGAUCGGCCACAAGGGGACUGAGACACGGCCCUUACUCCUACGGGAGGCAGCAGUGGGGAAUAUUGGACAAUGGACCAAAGUCUGAUCCAGCAAUUCUGUGUGCACGAUGAAGUUUUCGGAAUGGAAAGUGCUUUCAGUUGGGAAGCGGUACCAACAGAAGAAGUGACGGCUAAAUACGUGCCAGCAGCCGCGGUAAUAC